UAAUGCUUAGGAAUCUGCCUAUUAGUGGGGGACAACAUUCCGAAAGGAAUGCUAAUACCGCAUACGCCCUACGGGGGAAAGCAGGGGAUCUUCGGACCUUGCGCUAAUAGAUGAGCCUAAGUCAGAUUAGCUAGUUGGUGGGGUAAAGGCCUACCAAGGCGACGAUCUGUAGCGGGUCUGAGAGGAUGAUCCGCCACACUGGGACUGAGACACGGCCCAGACUCCUACGGGAGGCAGCAGUGGGGAAUAUUGGACAAUGGGCGAAAGCCUGAUCCAGCCAUGCCGCGUGUGUGAAGAAGGCCUUUUGGUUGUAAAGCACUUUAAGCGAGGAGGAGGCUACUUGGAUUAAUACUCUAGGAUAGUGGACGUUACUCGCAGAAUAAGCACCGGCUAACUCUGUGCCAGCAGCCGCGGUAAUACAGAGGGUGCGAGCGUUAAUCGGAUUUACUGGGCGUAAAGCGUGCGUAGGCGGCUUUUUAAGUCGGAUGUGAAAUCCCUGAGCUUAACUUAGGAAUUGCAUUCGAUACUGGGAAGCUAGAGUAUGGGAGAGGAUGGUAGAAUUCCAGGUGUAGCGGUGAAAUGCGUAGAG
rnacentral:rRNA from 1 species